GCUGAGUUGUACGGUGAGAUCCAGCGAAGAAGAUGCGGCGAGAUCCGACGAUGCUACAGCGAGAUUUGGUGAUGAUGACGAGUUCCCGGCAAGAUCUAACGACGUUGACGAUUUCCGGCGAGAUUAGACGACGCUCAUGAUUUUUCUGACGAGCUCUCUGACGACUUUUCCAGCGAGCCUUUCGACGAACCUGAAAAACUUGACGAGAUCCGACGAACUGACCAAGCUCUCUCACGACGUCAACGAAGGAACAAUAUGUGAUUGGCUUGCAUUCAGAUUUUGAAGAUCGACGAGGUUGGUGAGUUGUUUGAAGAAGCAAGAGGAACUCUGAACAACAACGUGAUGGAGCUCUUAGGGAGGACAAGCUGCUGAUUCCACUUCCUUCAUUUGUGAUCUUGGUUCUUCUCACAUUCUAUUCUCCAUCCACAAGAGUUAAAAUUUCGUUCAGAAAUACACAAAAUCGAAAGGAGAUAUACGCAUACCAGCUGGGAAACUUGAACAGGAGAAGGAUUCGACAUCUGAUCCACGGUGUGUGAGAGAGGGAUGAGAUGACGAUUACAUGAGAGAGAGAAUCCGUGUGUUAGCUCGUCGGAGAUCUCAACGGAACGAUGACGAUGACUUUCGAUG